rnacentral:rRNA from 1 species
UACGAAGGGGGCUAGCGUUGCUCGGAAUCACUGGGCGUAAAGGGUGCGUAGGCGGGUCUUUAAGUCAGGGGUGAAAUCCUGGAGCUCAACUCCAGAACUGCCUUUGAUACUGAGGAUCUUGAGUUCGGAGAGGUGAGUGGAACUGCGAGUGUAGAGGUGAAAUUCGUAGAUAUUCGCAAGAACACCAGUGGCGAAGGCGGCUCACUGGCCCGAUACUGACGCUGAGGCACGAAAGCGUGGGGAGCAAACAGGG